rnacentral:rRNA from 1 species
UACGUAGGUGGCAAGCGUUGUCCGGAUUUACUGGGCGUAAAGAGCGCGCAGGCGGUCGUCCAAGUCGCGUGUGAAAGCCCCCGGCUCAACUGGGGAGGGUCACGCGAUACUGGUCGACUCGAAGGCAGGAGAGGGUAGUGGAAUUCCCGGUGUAGUGGUGAAAUGCGUAGAUAUCGGGAGGACACCAGUGGCGAAGGCGACUACCUGGC